UGAGGGUUUUGACUACCUUUCUAUAAAAUGUAUAACAGAGUAUUAUUUUCUUCUGUUCUCUAUUCAAGGUGGUUCAUGACACUUGUGAUCUAGCUCUCGAGACCAGCUACUGGGUGAAUGUCGGGACUCUCAAGAACUGAACUGGCCUCUGUGUCAACCAUAUGCUUCUUCUUCCAGUGUCUCACUUCAUCUUCACAACUGGUUUGCAAGUGUGGAGGAAGCUGUGAUGAAUGGAAAGAUGGAGAACUUCUGUGAGUGAGUGCUCUGGAAUUACAACAUAUAUCUGUCUGGCUUUAUGGACAGUGGGUUUUUGUCCUGA
rnacentral:lncRNA from 1 species